rnacentral:misc_RNA from 1 species
GAUGAAGAACGCAGCGAAAUGCGAUAAGUAGUGUGAAUUGCAGAAUUCAGUGAAUCAUCGAAUCUUUGAACGAACAUUGCGCCCUUUGGUAUUCCAAAGGGCAUGCCUGUUCGAGCGUCAUUUGUACCCUCAAGCUUUGCUUGGUGUUGGGCGUCUUGUCUCUAGCUUUGCUGGAGACUCGCCUUAAAGUAAUUGGCAGCCGGCCUACUGGUUUCGGAGCGCAGCACAAGUCGCACUCUCUAUCAGCAAAGGUCUAGCAUCCAUUAAGCCUUUUUUUCAACUUUUGACCUCGGAUCAGGUAGGGAUACCCGCUGAACUUAAGCAUAUCAAUAAGCGGAGGA